rnacentral:rRNA from 1 species
UUAAGUGACUAAGCGUACACGGUGGAUGCCCUGGCAGUCAGAGGCGAUGAAGGACGUGCUAAUCUGCGAAAAGCGUCGGUAAGGUGAUAUGAACCGUUAUAACCGGCGAUGUCCGAAUGGGGAAACCCAGUGCAAUUCGUUGCACUAUCGUUAACUGAAUACAUAGGUUAACGAGGCGAACCGGGGGAACUGAAACAUCUAAGUACCCCGAGGAAAAGAAAUCAACCGAGAUUCCCCCAGUAGCGGCGAGCGAACGGGGAGCAGCCCAGAGUCUGAAUCAGCUUGUGUGUUAGUGGAACGGUCUGGAAAGUCCGACGGUACAGGGUGAUAGUCCCGUACACCAAAAUGCACAGGCUGUGAACUCGAAGAGUAGGGCGGGACACGUGGUAUCCUGUCUGAAUAUGGGGGGACCAUCCUCCAAGGCUAAAUACUCCUGACUGACCGAUAGUGAACCAGUACCGUGAGGGAAAGGCGAAAAGAACCCCGGCGAGGGGAGUGAAAAAGAACCUGAAACCGUGUACGUACAAGCAGUGGGAGCACCUUCGGGUGUGACUGCGUACCUUUUGUAUAAUGGGUCAGCGACUUAUAUUCUGUAGCAAGGUUAACCGUAUAGGGGAGCCGCAGGGAAACCGAGUCUUAACUGGGCGUUAAGUUGCAGGGUAUAGACCCGAAACCCGGUGAUCUAGCCAUGGGCAGGUUGAAGGUUGGGUAACACUAACUGGAGGACCGAACCGACUAAUGUUGAAAAAUUAGCGGAUGACUUGUGGCUGGGGGUGAAAGGCCAAUCAAACCGGGAGAUAGCUGGUUCUCCCCGAAAGCUAUUUAGGUAGCGCCUCGUGAAUUCAUCUUCGGGGGUAGAGCACUGUUUCGGCUAGGGGGUCAUCCCGACUUACCAACCCGAUGCAAACUACGAAUACCGAAGAAUGUUAUCACGGGAGACACACGGCGGGUGCUAACGUCCGUCGUGAAGAGGGAAACAACCCAGACCGCCAGCUAAGGUCCCAAAGUCAUGGUUAAGUGGGAAACGAUGUGGGAAGGCACAGACAGCCAGGAUGUUGGCUUAGAAGCAGCCAUCAUUUAAAGAAAGCGUAAUAGCUCACUGGUCGAGUCGGCCUGCGCGGAAGAUGUAACGGGGCUAAACCAUGCACCGAAGCUGCGGCAGCGACACUAUGUGUUGUUGGGUAGGGGAGCGUUCUGUAAGCCUGCGAAGGUGACCUGUGAGGGUUGCUGGAGGUAUCAGAAGUGCGAAUGCUGACAUAAGUAACGAUAAAGCGGGUGAAAAGCCCGCUCGCCGGAAGACCAAGGGUUCCUGUCCAACGUUAAUCGGGGCAGGGUGAGUCGACCCCUAAGGCGAGGCCGAAAGGCGUAGUCGAUGGGAAACAGGUUAAUAUUCCUGUACUUGGUGUUACUGCGAAGGGGGGACGGAGAAGGCUAUGUUAGCCGGGCGACGGUUGUCCCGGUUUAAGCAUGUAGGCUGGUUGUCCAGGCAAAUCCGGAUAAUCAAGGCUGAGGUGUGAUGACGAGGCACUACGGUGCUGAAGUAACAAAUGCCCUGCUUCCAGGAAAAGCCUCUAAGCAUCAGGUAACAUUAAAUCGUACCCCAAACCGACACAGGUGGUCAGGUAGAGAAUACCAAGGCGCUUGAGAGAACUCGGGUGAAGGAACUAGGCAAAAUGGUGCCGUAACUUCGGGAGAAGGCACGCUGGUGUGUAGGUGAAGUCCCUGCGGAUGGAGCUGAGACCAGUCGAAGAUACCAGCUGGCUGCAACUGUUUAUUAAAAACACAGCACUGUGCAAACACGAAAGUGGACGUAUACGGUGUGACGCCUGCCCGGUGCCGGAAGGUUAAUUGAUGGGGUUAUCCGUAAGGAGAAGCUCUUGAUCGAAGCCCCGGUAAACGGCGGCCGUAACUAUAACGGUCCUAAGGUAGCGAAAUUCCUUGUCGGGUAAGUUCCGACCUGCACGAAUGGCGUAAUGAUGGCCAGGCUGUCUCCACCCGAGACUCAGUGAAAUUGAACUCGCUGUGAAGAUGCAGUGUACCCGCGGCAAGACGGAAAGACCCCGUGAACCUUUACUAUAGCUUGACACUGAACAUUGAGCCUUGAUGUGUAGGAUAGGUGGGAGGCUUUGAAGCGUGGACGCCAGUCUGCGUGGAGCCAACCUUGAAAUACCACCCUUUAAUGUUUGAUGUUCUAACGUUGGCCCCUGACCGGGGUUGCGGACAGUGUCUGGUGGGUAGUUUGACUGGGGCGGUCUCCUCCCAAAGCGUAACGGAGGAGCACGAAGGUUAGCUAAUCCUGGUCGGACAUCAGGAGGUUAGUGCAAUGGCAUAAGCUAGCUUGACUGCGAGCGUGACGGCGCGAGCAGGUGCGAAAGCAGGUCAUAGUGAUCCGGUGGUUCUGAAUGGAAGGGCCAUCGCUCAACGGAUAAAAGGUACUCCGGGGAUAACAGGCUGAUACCGCCCAAGAGUUCAUAUCGACGGCGGUGUUUGGCACCUCGAUGUCGGCUCAUCACAUCCUGGGGCUGAAGUAGGUCCCAAGGGUAUGGCUGUUCGCCAUUUAAAGUGGUACGCGAGCUGGGUUUAGAACGUCGUGAGACAGUUCGGUCCCUAUCUGCCGUGGGCGCUGGAGAAUUGAGGGGGGCUGCUCCUAGUACGAGAGGACCGGAGUGGACGCAUCACUGGUGUUCGGGUUGUCAUGCCAAUGGCACUGCCCGGUAGCUAAAUGCGGAAGAGAUAAGUGCUGAAAGCAUCUAAGCACGAAACUUGCCCCGAGAUGAGUUCUCCCUGAGACUUUAAGUCUCCUGAAGGAACGUUAAAGACGAUGACGUUGAUAGGCCGGGUGUGUAAGCGCAGCGAUGCGUUGAGCUAACCGGUACUAAUGAACCGUGAGGCUUAACCUU